rnacentral:rRNA from 1 species
AUACGUAGGGAGCGAGCGUUGUCCGGAAUUACUGGGCGUAAAGGGCGCGUAGGCGGCGCUUCAAGUCGUCUGUCAAAUGGGAGGGCUUAACCCUUUUUCGCAGACGAAACUGGAGAGCUUGAGAAGCAGAGAGGCAAACAGAAUUCCUGGUGUAGAGGUGAAAUGCGUAGAUAUCAGGAAGAAUACCAGUGGCGAAGGCGGUUUGCUGGCUGCAUACUGACGCUGAAGCGCGAAAGCCAGGGGAGCAAACGGGAUUAGAUACCCCGGUAGUCCUGGCAGUAAACGAUGUAUGCUGGGUGUGAGACUAGCGAUAGUUUCGUGCCGAAGUUAACGCGAUAAGCAUACCGCCUGGGGAGUACGGUCGCAAGAUUGAAACUCAAAUGAAUUGGCGGGG